rnacentral:misc_RNA from 1 species
GAUGAAGAACGUAGCGAAAUGCGAUAAGUAAUGUGAAUUGCAGAAUUCAGUGAAUCAUCGAAUCUUUGAACGCACAUUGCGCCCGCCAGUAUUCUGGCGGGCAUGCCUGUUCGAGCGUCAUUUCAACCAUCAAGCCCCCGGCUUGUGUUGGGGACCUGCAGCUGCCGCAGGCCCUGAAAACCAGUGGCGGGCUCGCUAGUCACUCCGAGCGUAGUAAUACAUCUCGCUCAGGGCGUGCUGCGGGUUCCGGCCGUUAAAAAGCCUUAUUUACCCAAGGUUGACCUCGGAUCAGGUAGGAAGACCCGCUGAACUUAAGCAUAUCAAUAAGCGGAGGA